AUACUGACCUGUCAGGGGAGACACCAUGAUCACAAAGGUGGUUUUCCAAGGGCGAGGCUUAUCCAUUGCACUCCGGAUGUGCUUACCCCUGUGAUUUCCCCAAAUGCUGGAAACUGGGCUGCAUAAUUUUUGAUAUUGGGGGGACUACAUUCGUGCUCUGCCCUG